GUGUUGGUUGGUUUUUUUUGUUCUUGGAUUAAAGAAGAAUAUUCUUGAUUUGCAUUUUAAAACAUCAUGAUCAAAAACAAUUGCCCUCCUCCUUCUGUAUUUUCCUCACGACAAAUGAAUCCGAUUACAGGCCUUGAUUUGAUUUCUUUGUGAGCGUGUUCAGACAGACCAACAUCGAAAUCGCGAGGUGGCACUCUCUGUCGUUAGCUGGGAAGUACAGCACCUUCUUGUUUCACUCUGCCCCAAGUCCUGAUGCCUAAACAAACUAAAGCUUGAUAUUAACCAGACAGGAAUGGAAGUGGUAUUGUGCGUCUCAUUUAAGAUUCGUAAGAAAUCUGUUGAGUCUUUUUUUUUCUUUUGCUCUUCUCAAAGAAAUAAGAAACCAGAGCUCAAUAAUGUAGUUGGAAAUAAAAAGUUAGAUGUGGCGCAGAAUUGUAUCAGAACUGCACACGCUGAAUACUCUCUGUAAUUGAAAGGUAAAGAUUCUGGGUUCAGCUACAAAUCUCUGGCCAGGGAAGACGGCGCUGUGUGCCAGGACAUCUCACAGCUCAGCUGCCGCCUGCAUGCAGCAGAAGUGCCAUUGACACCUCGCUCCAUCUCUAAAGAUAAGGCAGUAAUGACGCUCCGUAUUCCUCGGGCCUGUUGAGUCUGGGUGUGAGUCGCUAUUUGGCCUGAGUGAACUACUAUUUGAAGUUGAAGAGGAAAAGAGAAGAAGGAGGAUCACGGCCACGAAGACAAUGUUAUAUCAAAAAUAUAAAAAAUGUUCUCUCUUCAGAUAAAAUAAUUGAUUUCUCCAGCAAUCAAUCAACGAGUGAUUCAUUGCAUUAAAUGUCACUGCAAUCACACGCUUGGUGUUUAAAGGGUCAAAAACACCAGCACCCGAGGGACCGUCCUAGCUAACAAGACAGCCCACAACGUGAAGCGCUCCGAUUUACUGUAUCGGUCCUGUGACCUCUGGCAGUAUCUGGUGCUUUUAUUCCUCCGCACGCUUCAUAAGUGUGUAACUGUUUGGUAGCAAAACUGACAAAACAGAGCAGAAUUGGAUUAAUGAAGACAAAUGUGUGAACUCGGUUGCAUGAAUGUGGCCUUUCGCAGUCUCUGCGGAUGGCAUUUUUUUUGCUGCAAAGGCCCGUUCUCUCAAUCAUCGUAAUAAGGCUGAUCCCAGUCAGAGCUCUGACAGCUCCGAGACGAGGCUGCCCUCGUUCUGCGCAGCACUCCUCGGCUCGGCACCGGAGGAGACAGGAGGGCUUCGCUGACAAACACAGAGCUGCGGUUUUCCACGAAUUGAAUGCUAAAUGUGUACAAACAGUUUGUGAGUUUAACUUUAUCUCGGGAAAAUACAAAAAACAAUGGAAAUAUUACAAUUUUAUGUUUGAUAAUAUUGGUAUAAAAUCCCAUAAUGUUGGAAUUAUUUGAGCUGCAUAUAUAAACUCAUAUAAACUCAAGUAGUUGGUACCCACCAUGGUAAUUUGAUUAUUACUUUGUACAUGUUUGUAUAUGGAAAACGAUUAUCAAUUUGUUUGACUAUA